AGGAUAAUACCGGAUAGGCAAUUUUUCCUGUAAUGGUUCUUUGUUUAAAUGUUUUUUCGCCUAAGGAUGGGUCUGCGGCCGAUUAGGUAGUUGGUUAGGUAAUGGCUUACCAAGCCGUUGAUCGGUACGGGUUGUGAGAGCAAGAGCCCGGAGAUGGAACCUGAGACAAGGUUCCAGGCCCUACGGGGCGCAGCAGGCACGAAACCUCCACAAUGUGAGAAAUCGCGAUGGG
rnacentral:rRNA from 1 species